rnacentral:rRNA from 1 species
UUGGAGGGCAAGUCUGGUGCCAGCAGCCGCGGUAAUUCCAGCUCCAAUAGCGUAUAUUAAAGUUGUUGUAGUUAAAAAGCUCGUAGUUGAAUUUCGGAAUCUGUCCAUCGGUCGGGCUUCACUGUCCGUACUGGUGUGGUGGGUUCUUACCUUCUGAAUAACCAGCAUGCCAUUCACUUGGUGCGCUGGGGAAUCAGGACUGUUACUUUGAAAAAAUUAGAGUGUUUAAAGCAAGCAUACGCUUGAAUACAUUAGCAUGGAAUAAUGAAAUAGGACGUUUGAUUCUAUUUUGUUGGUUUCUAGGAUCGACGUAAUGAUUAAUAGGGAUAGUUGGGGGCAUUAGUAUUCAAUUGUCAGAGGUGAAGUUCUUGGAUUUAUUGAAGACUAACUACUGCGAAAGCAUUUGCCAAGGAUGUUUUCAUUAAUCAAGAACGAAAGUUAGGGGAUCGAAGACGAUCAGAUACCGUCGUAGUCUUAACCAUAAACUAUGCCGACUAGGGAUCGGAUGAUGUUAAUUUUUUAAUGACUCAUUCGGCGCCUUACGGGAAAC